UCUGAGAUGGGUGAUAGACGUCCUUGAACCACUGGAAAGUAAAAGUCUCUGCUUGUGUAAUUAUCUAGAGGAGUUGAUGAUAACCACGAUGCUUCAUCAGCUACUCAAUCGUCGACGCCUCCACCUCGGUACUAUUUUUGAACCGUCUAAGUUUUCUCCUCAGAAUUUUCAGAUAAUGUCAGCUUUUUUCUGAGGAAAGGCCUAUGAUAUUGGUAAAUGGGGUUUACAAAACAGAUGUAAUUAAUAUUUUGUUGCUCUUUUUAAAUUUGAUGGCAAUCUUUUUGCCAUCUGAACAGAAAGUUUAUAAAAGAAUAUUUGACUGGGAAACUGUAAGGUAGUCUGUCAUUUAGCAGUGGUAGUGCACUUACAGGACCAUAAGGGGCUUAAUCAUGAGCAAGGAACUGAAAGUUGACUUUUUUGGAAGAGCAGUAUGAUUUCCCCAAGAGAAGCUCCCAUUAUCGUCUUCUGUUGUUUUGGUCUGAAUAUUCUGAAGAAUACGUCUGAAGAUAAGGAAAUCAUCUAAGGAGCGGCAGCUGGAACGGAUCCCGGGGGUCAUCAACUUAUAGCGCCUUCUUGACAGGUACAGAGUCGUUGAUAGCAGCAGAGUGAAGUCUUGGGAGGAGCUGCUUCGACCCAUUCUAGUUGUCUAGUCCAGCCAUGGAUAGGCAGAGUUGCCCUUCCUCUGAUGGAAGACGUGGCAAAGUUAAUGAAUUUGUUAAGUCAGGUUCAGGACUUUGUAUGAUAGCUAAAAUCAAAGUAAACCCUUUAUAUAUAAUUCAGUGCAAAUUUCUGUGGAAAAUACAUGUUGGCUACACUAGCAUAUGUCUGUAAAAGAUUAUUGUACCGAAAAGAUUAUUGCAUCUCUGAAAAUUUUCAGAGAUUUGUUCUGGAAUUGUUUGUUGUCUGAACAAGACACAUA